rnacentral:rRNA from 1 species
CACAUGCAAGUCGAACGAAGUAGCAAUACUUAGUGGCAGACGGGUGAGUAACAUGUAGGUAUCUUCCCUUUGGCCUGGAAUAACACGAGGAAACUUGUGCUAAUACCGGAUAAGUCUUUACGGAGAAAGCUUUAUGCACCAUUGGAUGAGCCUGCACUUGAUUAGUUAGUUGGUAGGGUAAAGGCCUACCAAGACUUUGAUCAAUAGCUGAUUUGAGAGGAUGAUCAGCCACAUUGGGACUGAGACACGGCCCAAACUCCUACGGGAGGCAGCAGUGGGGAAUCUUGCACAAUGGAGGAAACUCUGAUGCAGCGAUGCCGCGUGAGUGAAGAAGGCCUUUGGGUUGUAAAGCUCUUUCGUCGGGGAAGAAAAUGACUGUACCCGAAUAAGAAG